AUGGACAGCAGCCUCGGGAAGACUUGCGUGGCGCUGAACUCGGGUGCCUGCUGGGCCAGGUUGUGCAGCGCCCUCGCAGCCAACUCUCGGAUGACCCCAUCCCAGUGGCUGAUCUUCAUGGUAACCAGGUGGUCUAUCAUUGGCUGCGUGUACUCAGGAAAGCCGGCAAUAAACACACUUAUAACCAGGAAACAGUUGGAUCUGUUACCGACGGCAAAAUAGUCAGCUG
rnacentral:misc_RNA from 1 species